rnacentral:sRNA from 1 species
GUCUCCUCCUCCAGCCGUCAGCUCCGUCAAAAAGGCAGUGAACCUCACAAAGCCCGUCACUCAAAGCAUCAAUAUCCAAGUGAUUCGAAAAGAAGAUCAAUGCCAAAUGGAGAAGAAUAUCAAGAAAAAUGCCAAGAAAUCCGGCAAAAAAUCGGCAAAAUCCGGCAACGGAGAGGUUCUGGUCAACCCGGGAGGCUCCAAUACUCCACAUUUUGCGACUCCGGUGGAUGUGGAGAGUCUUUGGUGUCAGGAGAAGGAUCCGGAUGCGAAACAGCUUCCGUCGUUGCUGGAGAGCAAGCUUUACCUGCAAAAUGCCGAUG